AGUGAAUAUAGUUUAUCAAAAAUUUUAGUCUGUGAACCUAAAGAUAAGGAUUAAUUAUCCUUUAUUCACCA
rnacentral:tRNA from 1 species